AUACGGAGGGUGCGAGCGUUAAUCGGAAUUACUGGGCGUAAAGCGUGCGUAGGCGGCUGAUUAAGUCAGAUGUGAAAUCCCAGGGCUCAACCUUGGAACUGCAUCUGAUACUGGUCAGCUAGAGUUUAGGAGAGGGAAGUAGAAUUUCAGGUGUAGCGGUGAAAUGCAUAGAUAUCUGAAGGAAUACCAGUGGCGAAGGCGGCUUCCUGGCCUAAAACUGACGCUGAGGUGCGAAAGCGUGGGUAGCAAACGGGAUUAGAAACCCCAGUAGUCC
rnacentral:rRNA from 1 species